rnacentral:rRNA from 1 species
CGGGUGAGUAAUGCUUGGGAAUCUGGCUUAUGGAGGGGGAUAACUACGGGAAACUGUAGCUAAUACCGCGUAAUAUCGAAAGAUUAAAGUGUGGGAUCUUCGGGCCACAUGCCAUAGGAUGAGCCCAAGUGGGAUUAGGUAGUUGGUGAGGUAAAGGCUCACCAAGCCGACGAUCUCUAGCUGGUCUGAGAGGAUGACCAGCCACACUGGGACUGAGACACGGCCCAG